UCAGGAGUUAUCAAGCGAGCAAUGGCUUGCCAUUGUUAAUAAGUUUUGUAGUGUCAGUUCUAACUCCUCCCACAAUGAUAGUCCUCUAUCACCAUUGCCUCAAGUACAUGGACAUUGAUGUGAAGAUUUUGAUGGAAUGUAAUAUGUUUCUGUAUGAACCUUUCUGAUCAUUCACACUCUAUUCAUCAGCUGCUGUCUGCAAAGAAGUGAACAUUUGGGCAAUUGAUC